rnacentral:rRNA from 1 species
AUUGAACGCUGGCGGCAUGCUUUACACAUGCAAGUCGAACGGUAACAGGGAGCUUGCUCCGCUGACGAGUGGCGAACGGGUGAGUAAUGCGUCGGAACGUGCCGAGUAGUGGGGGAUAACGCAGCGAAAGUUGUGCUAAUACCGCAUACGUACUGAGGUAGAAAGUGGGGGACCUUCGGGCCUCACGCUAUUCGAGCGGCCGACGUCUGAUUAGCUAGUAGGUGAGGUAAAGGCUCACCUAGGCGACGAUCAGUAGCGGGUCUGAGAGGAUGAUCCGCCACACUGGGACUGAGACACGGCCCAGACUCCUACGGGAGUCAGCAGUGGGGAAUUUUGGACAAUGGGCGAAAGCCUGAUCCAGCCAUGCCGCGUGUCUGAAGAAGGCCUUCGUGUUGUAAAGGACUUUUGUCGGGGAGGAAAUCCCCAGCGUUAAUACCGCUGGGGGAUGACAGUACCUGAAGAAUAAGCACCGGUUAACUACGUGCCAGCCGCCGCAGUAA